rnacentral:rRNA from 1 species
GACGAACGCUGGCGGCGUGCCUAAUACAUGCAAGUUGAGCGCUGAAGGUUGGUACUUGUACCAACUGGAUGAGCAGCGAACGGGUGAGUAACGCGUGGGGAAUCUGCCUUUGAGCGGGGGACAACAUUUGGAAACGAAUGCUAAUACCGCAUAAAAACUUUAAACACAAGUUUUAAGUUUGAAAGAUGCAAUUGCAUCACUCAAAGAUGAUCCCGCGUUGUAUUAGCUAGUUGGUGAGGUAAAGGCUCACCAAGGCGAUGAUACAUAGCCGACCUGAGAGGGUGAUCGGCCACAUUGGGACUGAGACACGGCCCAAACUCCUACGGGAGGCAGCAGUAGGGAAUCUUCGGCAAUGGACGAAAGUCUGACCGAGCAACGCCGCGGGAGUGAAGAAGGGUUUCGGAUCGUAAAACUCUGUUGGUAGAGAAGAACGUUGGUGAGAGUGGAAAGCUCAUCAAGUGACGGUAACUACCCAGAAAGGGACGGCUAACUACGUG